rnacentral:rRNA from 1 species
CUCUUCUUGGAUAUAUUUUGAUGUAUGGCCUGCCCACUGAAUAUUGAAGGGCCGCGGUAUUUUGACCGUGCAAAGGUAGCAUAAUCAUUAGUCUUUUAAUUGUAGGCUGGAAUGAAUGGUUUGACGAGGUGUUAACUGUCUUUAUUUUUUUUUUGAACUUAAAUUUUAGGUUAAAAUGCCUAAAUGUUUUUUUGGGACGAGAAGACCCUAUAGAGUUUUAUAUAUUUUUAUUUUUUUUGUAUGAAAAUUUCUAAUGUAAAAAUUUAUUUUGUUGGGGUGAUGGAAAGAUUUAAUUAACUCUUUUUAUUUAUUUUAUAUUUAUUUAUAUGUAUUUGACCCAUUUAUAUUGAUUAUAAAACUAAAUUACC